rnacentral:rRNA from 1 species
GAUGAACGCUGGCGGCGUGCCUAAUACAUGCAAGUCGAGCGAAUGAUGAGGAGCUUGCUCCUCUGAUUUAGCGGCGGACGGGUGAGUAACACGUGGGUACCUGCCUGUAAGAUGGGGAUAACUCCGGGAAACCGGGGCUAACACCGAAUAAUAAAAGAGGAAGCAUUUCUUCUUUUUGAAAGUUGGUUUCGGCUAACACUUACAGAUGGGCCUGCGGCGCAUUAGCUAGUUGGUGGGGUAACGGCUCACCAAGGCGACGAUGCGUAGCCGACCUGAGAGGGUGAUCGGCCACACUGGGACUGAGACACGGCCCAGACUCCUACGGGAGGCAGCAGUAGGGAAUCUUCGGCAAUGGGCGAAAGCCUGACCGAGCAACGCCGCGUGAGCGAGGAAGGCCUUCGGGUCGUAAAGCUCUGUUGUCAGGGAAGAACAAGUACGAGAGUAACUGCUCGUACCUUGACGGUACCUGACCAGAAAGCCACGGCUAACUACGUGCCAGCAGCCGCCGUAACAC